rnacentral:rRNA from 1 species
UGAAGCUCCAGCUUGCUGGAGUGGAUCAGUGGCGAACGGGUGAGUAACACGUGAGCAACCUGCCCCGGACUCUGGGAUAAGCGCUGGAAACGGCGUCUAAUACCGGAUACGCACCAGAACCGCAUGGUUACUGGUGGGAAAGAUUUUUUGGUUCGGGAUGGGCUCGCGGCCUAUCAGCUUGUUGGUGAGGUAACGGCUCACCAAGGCGUCGACGGGUAGCCGGCCUGAGAGGGUGACCGGCCACACUGGGACUGAGACACGGCCCAGACUCCUACGGGAGGCAGCAGUGGGGAAUAUUGCACAAUGGGCGGAAGCCUGAUGCAGCAACGCCGCGUGAGGGACGACGGCCUUCGGGUUGUAAACCUCUUUUAGCAGGGAAGAAGCGAAAGUGACGGUACCUGCAGAAAAAGCGCCGGCUAACUACGUGCCAGCAGCCGCGGUAAUACGUAGGGCGCAAGCGUUAUCCGGAAUUAUUGGGCGUAAAGAGCUCGUAGGCGGUCUGUCGCGUCUGCUGUGAAAACCCGAGGCUCAACCUCGGGCCUGCAGUGGGUACGGGCAGACUAGAGUGCGGUAGGGGAGAUUGGAAUUCCUGGUGUAGCGGUGGAAUGCGCAGAUAUCAGGAGGAACACCGAUGGCGAAGGCAGAUCUCUGGGCCGUAACUGACGCUGAGGAGCGAAAGGGUGGGGAGCAAACAGGCUUAGAUACCCUGGUAGUCCACCCCGUAAACGUUGGGAACUAGUUGUGGGGGCCUUUCCACGGUCUCCGUGA